rnacentral:rRNA from 1 species
UACGUAGGGGGCAGGCGUUGUCCGGAUUUAUUGGGCGUAAAGAGCGUGUAGGCGGCCAGGUAGGUCCGCUGUGAAAACUCGAGGCUCAACCUCGAGAUGUCGGCGGAAACCAUCUGGCUAGAGUCCGGAAGAGGAAAGUGGAAUUCCCGGUGUAGCGGUGAAAUGCGCAGAUAUCGGGAAGAACACCCGUGGCGAAGGCGGCUUUCUGGGACGGUACUGACGCUGAGACACGAAAGCGUGGGGAGCGAACAGG